rnacentral:rRNA from 1 species
CAGUAGCCGCGGUAAUACGGAGGGGGCUAGCGUUGUUCGGAAUUACUGGGCGUAAAGCGCACGUAGGCGGCUUGGUAAGUUAGAGGUGAAAGCCUGGAGCUCAACUCCAGAAUUGCCUUUAAGACUGCCGAGCUAGCAGGUGAGAGAGGUAAGUGGAAUUCCGAGUGUAGAGGUGAAAUUCGUAGAUAUUGGGAAGAACACCGGUGGCGAAGGCGGCAACCUGGCUCAUUACUGACGCUGAGGCGCGAAAGCGUGGGGAGCAAACAGGAUUAGAUACCCCCGUAGUCCCUGUCUCUUAUAC